AGCGUGCGACCCCAGGUCUAUUUGUUAUCUAUUUUUAUCUGUAUUUCGACCUAUUUACUUUAUAUAGGCCAGGCUAGAAUAAUUUAAUUUAGUGUCUUUUCUUCUUGCAUAGGUCAGUGCUGUGUGUUUGUAGUUUCCGCUAUUUAUAACUUCUGCUAGUUUUAGUCUUUUUCUGUUAUUUGUGUUUUACUCGUAGAGGAAAAGUAGUUUUAAAAAUAGUUAACUAGCCUUAGAGCUGUUGGCACUGUUUCCAUUUCUUUAUCCCUGAUUAGUUCUAUGUAUUUUUGUCUUUAGCGCUUAGGUUAGGUUAGUAGUUAUUUUCUAAUUUCAGUCUAAGUGUAAGUCUAGAAGCUGUAUAGGGUCCCUGUACGAGUUUAGAACAUAAAUAUCUUUCUUCUUCCUUUUUGUAUUUUUGUAAGAUUAAAUUUUAAGGUUCUCUUUUUUAUGCUGUUUAAUUUGGUAUAUAAUGUUGUGUAGUCCGUGUCUUUAGUAAUUUUCUAGAUUUUAUUAUAGCGUACGGCUAGGUACAAAUUAGGGAAAUCAGUAGUCCAGUUUAGUUUUAGGUAAUUAGCGUGACGUCAUGCUCUCCGAUAUGUUCGCGCUGACCAUUUAUAGCUAGCUCCGGAACCACGUUGAGCCCUCUUUUGUCUUGACCAGUGGUCAGUGCUGACAGUGGUGCCGGUGUAGAGUUAAUUGUGUGUAGUGUAAUUUCAGCUGGGACCGCCUGUAAGUUGGAAAAUGUUUUUAUUUUAUUUCUUUAGUUUGUAUUUGUAUUAGUUAUUCCUACAUCUACUGUUAUAGUCUAGAUGUGGACUGAUUAGUGUAGUGGCAUCACUGGCUAGUUAAUUAGCCAUGAUUGUCUAUGAUGGAACCGGAAGGUCCAUUGAGCUGGAUAGCGUCACCCCUUCCUUCCCCCCCCCCCAGCUAUCCCUAAUAAUCCCCUUAUUGUUUUUCUAUACUAUGUCUAUUUGUAAAUAUUUUAUUAUCUUAUAUUCUUAUGUAUGUUUAUUUUAUUAGUGAUUCUUUUUGGUAGUUUCUGAAGUGUAGUUGGCAGAUAAUAUUAUUUUUAAUUUUGUUGUACUUUUAUGUACAAGAUGGCGGCUGGCAUAAGCCGGCUCAUUAACCUAGAUCUAAUGUGUAUUGUUGUGACUUUGAUCUGAUGUUAUCUAGAUCUGUUUAUUGUCUACCCAGCCUGUGUGGGUUGUGGCGUAGACUUGACCUAAAUUCUGUGGCUUUUACUAGCUACAUGGAGGCUAAUUACUAAUAUGUAAUUACCUCAUGUCUCUAGGCUAUCCUUACUGCAGUACUGCUGUUGUUAGUCUACUGCCAUUAGUCUGCCAUUAGUCUGCCAUCGCCUCCCUGUACCUUUUUUUUGUUAUAUUUUAUUAAUUCUAAGCUUAGGUCUAGGGUAGUAAUAGUUAGAUAGUUGGUUUGGUUAGUCUGUUAGUGUUUGUAGAUUUAGAGGGUUUUAGUUAGUUGCUGAGUUCAGUUGUAGUGUUAGUGUAGCUCUAUAUGUUAUAUUUUAUUAUUGAUAUAUUUGUGUAUGUAAAUAAAGUUUCCUUUUGUUUUAUUUACCCUAAAGUAAAAGUUUUGUUAUUGCUUUCUUUUAGUUAGCUAGAUUAGUUUAGUUUAGUUUAAUUGUGCUGUCUGGUUGCUUAGGCGACUCUAGCCCCUUGGUCGCAGACCGAGGUGCACAGAUUGGGCCCACCCAGUAGAGCUACCACCUGCCUACUGUUACAAAUGAAUUUAAUGUCGAGCAGCAGAAGAGAAUAGGCCACCACAGCUCGCGCCUGCCUGACCUGCUCACAUUUUUUGGUGUCAGAAGUGGGAUCUGUGCUUGAGUGGCCAGACGCACAUUAUUUUUUUUAGAUUAGGUUGUUGUUAGGUUCCUCUUAGGCUUUUGUUAGGUUUCUUUAGGUCAGUGUUAGGAUUUAUUAGGUUGGCAUUGGUGUUAGGAUUUGGCGUCAGUGUUAGAGAAUUUAUUUUGUUGUAGGUUUUUAGGAUAUGGAUAGUUUAGUUUGCAGUAGGAGUUUUGUUUUAUUUUUUUUGCUAUCUGUUAUUUGUUGUUAAAGUGUGGGGCCUAGAAGUUUUAGUAGGAUGUAGUUCUAGGAAGUUGUUGUAGUGCGUUGUGAGGUAGUUAGUAUUUGUUGUUAUGGGUUAGUGUUAGGGUUGCUAGGUUAGGUUAGGUUGGCAGAAUGGCAGCAGCGGCAGGAAGGAUGCAGCGGUCCCAGACUGAUGUGGAGGUGCCUCGGAAGAGUGAUCCGAGAGGAGAGAAGUCUGCAGCUACCCCCAUGCCUGCAGAGAGAUGUCAGCCCAGCUUCUGCAGAUGAAAUGUCCAGAGUCGGAGAACGACAUGUAUUGGCCGUCAGUUUAGUGAGAGUGUUUUUUUCAAGAAUUGUCUCAGCCCAAGACGUCAAUUAUAUUACAGCUCUAAUAGUUGUAAUUAACUGUGUAGGAUUUGCUGGCAGUGAAACCCUUCAAGCAGAUGUCUGUAUCCUUCUGCUGUGGAAAUAUUACUGUCAUGACUUGGGCAGCCCGGAUGCAGGCAUGCAAAUAGCCAUGUACCGGCCUGACAGAGGUGCCCCACUUCCACCUCUGUGUUAUAAACAACUGGGCCAGUUUGUCCUUCCAUUUAGGACGACUGUCAGCCCAGUUGCAACGUUCAGUUUUGUGGCCAUUGCCAUACCUUGAAAGGUCCCCAAGUCCGGGGGUCAGCUACUCUGUCUACGAGAUUACCUUGCCAGAUGCACCCAGCCAGCCACAGUCAAUCCCUGCUCCUGCACCGGUAGGCCCAAGAAGGUCCUCCAGGACGAGAAGACAACCUACCCGACUGGAUAUUUAGUUUUAGUCCUUUUUUGUUUGUUGUAAACUUUUCUUUGUAUGGCUAUGUUUUUGCAUGUUUAAUAUUAUUUUGUUGUGUGGUAUUAAUGAUGUAUUUUGUAUAUUGAUUUUUUAUGUUUUUGUAUAUUCCAUGCUUGCUCUACUAAUGGUUUUGCAACCUAGUAGAUAUUUUUUUAGUCUUUAUUGGGCUCUAAAAAGCCAAUAUGGUGCUGGAAUGUUGUAGUUGCUGUAGUAAUAUGCUGUAUGUACGAUUUUUCUAGUCAUGUUAAUUUUCGAUGUUGCCGUCAAGGUACUCGUUAUGUUAUUUGUCUUGGAGGCCAUGACGUAGAUAAAUGUAAUACAUUUUACACAGUAUUUUGUUGUUGCCUUUGGAAGGCAAUGUAAUGUUUUUUUAGUAGUUUGACUUUUUUUGAAGUACUUAAGGUACUCAUUAAUGUCAUGUUAGGUUGAAUUGUCUGACAGUGGUCCUUUUAUUUUUUUAUUUUCUAUGUCUCAUCACCACUGUUGGAUGCCCUGUGUUUUUUGUUAUAGCACUGUAACUUCAGGUUGUGUUAUGACACUUCGGGUGUACCAUUUUUUAAUGUUUUGGUCUUUGUGACCAUUGUGAGCCUUCAGUGGCUGGCCAUAAGUCUGUGUGACUAUGGGCCUGUUGAAGCCUUGGUGGCUUUGUAUAAGUCUGUGUGACUAUGGGCCAUAAGUCUGUGUGACUAUGGACCCGUUUGAAGCCUUGGUGGCUUUGUAUAAGUCUGUGUGACUUUGUUUUAACCUGUGUGGCUAAGGAACUGAGUUAAGCCUCAUAGAGUUCCUGUUGGUCUGUGUGACUAAGUUUAUCAUGUUUGGCUAGGGCAUCAUUUGCUCUAACCAUGUAGUUUUCGUUAAUUACUUUUUUUAUCGUUCCAUUUUUUUAUAUUUUGUAUUACCUGUAUUUUUAUUGUUUUCUGUUGAAAGCUUUGCCACUUGUGAAGCUAUUUAGUACUGAGAGCUAUGGUUAUAGUUCUCCGUUCUCUUGUAUGAAUUCAUUUUUAUUUUAUUCUGCUGUAUAUAUUUUGACUUUUUGUCUCUGUAUUUUGUGUAUUUUUAUUUUUGCGGGGACGCAAAAGUUUUGAGCGGGGGUGAAUGUGAGCGUGCGACCCCAGGUCUAUUUGUUAUCUAUUUUUAUCUGUAUUUCGACCUAUUUACUUUAUAUAGGCCAGGCUAGAAUAAUUUAAUUUAGUGUCUUUUCUUCUUGCAUAGGUCAGUGCUGUGUGUUUGUAGUUUCCGCUAUUUAUAACUUCUGCUAGUUUUAGUCUUUUUCUGUUAUUUGUGUUUUACUCGUAGAGGAAAAGUAGUUUUAAAAAUAGUUAACUAGCCUUAGAGCUGUUGGCACUGUUUCCAUUUCUUUAUCCCUGAUUAGUUCUAUGUAUUUUUGUCUUUAGCGCUUAGGUUAGGUUAGUAGUUAUUUUCUAAUUUCAGUCUAAGUGUAAGUCUAGAAGCUGUAUAGGGUCCCUGUACGAGUUUAGAACAUAAAUAUCUUUCUUCUUCCUUUUUGUAUUUUUGUAAGAUUAAAUUUUAAGGUUCUCUUUUUUAUGCUGUUUAAUUUGGUAUAUAAUGUUGUGUAGUCCGUGUCUUUAGUAAUUUUCUAGAUUUUAUUAUAGCGUACGGCUAGGUACAAAUUAGGGAAAUCAGUAGUCCAGUUUAGUUUUAGGUAAUUAGCGUGACGUCAUGCUCUCCGAUAUGUUCGCGCUGACCAUUUAUAGCUAGCUCCGGAACCACGUUGAGCCCUCUUUUGUCUUGACCAGUGGUCAGUGCUGACAGUGGUGCCGGUGUAGAGUUAAUUGUGUGUAGUGUAAUUUCAGCUGGGACCGCCUGUAAGUUGGAAAAUGUUUUUAUUUUAUUUCUUUAGUUUGUAUUUGUAUUAGUUAUUCCUACAUCUACUGUUAUAGUCUAGAUGUGGACUGAUUAGUGUAGUGGCAUCACUGGCUAGUUAAUUAGCCAUGAUUGUCUAUGAUGGAACCGGAAGGUCCAUUGAGCUGGAUAGCGUCACCCCUUCCUUCCCCCCCCCCCAGCUAUCCCUAAUAAUCCCCUUAUUGUUUUUCUAUACUAUGUCUAUUUGUAAAUAUUUUAUUAUCUUAUAUUCUUAUGUAUGUUUAUUUUAUUAGUGAUUCUUUUUGGUAGUUUCUGAAGUGUAGUUGGCAGAUAAUAUUAUUUUUAAUUUUGUUGUACUUUUAUGUACAAGAUGGCGGCUGGCAUAAGCCGGCUCAUUAACCUAGAUCUAAUGUGUAUUGUUGUGACUUUGAUCUGAUGUUAUCUAGAUCUGUUUAUUGUCUACCCAGCCUGUGUGGGUUGUGGCGUAGACUUGACCUAAAUUCUGUGGCUUUUACUAGCUACAUGGAGGCUAAUUACUAAUAUGUAAUUACCUCAUGUCUCUAGGUCGGUUUGUGUACUAGACUAGGUCUAGUCUAGCUUUUUUAAACUUUUUACUAUUUUUUAACGUUUUUAUGUAUUGAUUUUUGCAGGCUAUCCUUACUGCAGUACUGCUGUUGUUAGUCUACUGCCAUUAGUCUGCCAUUAGUCUGCCAUCGCCUCCCUGUACCUUUUUUUUGUUAUAUUUUAUUAAUUCUAAGCUUAGGUCUAGGGUAGUAAUAGUUAGAUAGUUGGUUUGGUUAGUCUGUUAGUGUUUGUAGAUUUAGAGGGUUUUAGUUAGUUGCUGAGUUCAGUUGUAGUGUUAGUGUAGCUCUAUAUGUUAUAUUUUAUUAUUGAUAUAUUUGUGUAUGUAAAUAAAGUUUCCUUUUGUUUUAUUUA